rnacentral:tRNA from 1 species
GAGGGUAUACCUCAGUGGGAGAGCAUAUACUUAGCAUGUAUGAGGUCUUGGGUUCAAUCCCCAGUGCUUCCA